rnacentral:lncRNA from 1 species
AUGGUCGUCCCUCCACAGGUCCGAUCCCUGCAAAUAUUCUUUUAUUUUUUCACAUGCCGCUUGGAAAUCAUCAUCCCACCUGACCGUUUGACCCUUUUUUCUUCAACAACUUGGAUGGGUUCACAGGUGGCAGUUAGAUGAGAUGUGAACCAUGAAAUGUAAUUCAAUCUGCCUAAGAGACCACGAACCUCUUUUUCUGUUCUCGGUUCAGGCGUUUCUUGUAUUUCUUUUCUCUUUUUUUCCUUUUUUCCUUCUCUUUUUUCUUCUCUCUUUUUUUUUUAGUAGGAUCGGCCUCGAUUCCGCUUAUCCGCUCACAAUAAGCCUCAGCAUUUUACCGGACAGCACUCCACGAGUGCACUGAUUUGGACUCAACCUCAGUUUGAAUUAUCUUUACUGGUCCAACACCUUGACCAGGUCUACCGGAUGCCCCUCUCCUGCUUGGGACUUUGCUAUCAUGUCAUUAACAUAGCAUUCGAUUUCAUGAUGAAUCAUAUCAUGAAACAAAGUCACCAUAGACCCUUGAUACGUGGCACCGACAUUCUUGAGACUAAAUGACAUCACCU